GAACAGCCAGCAAGCCCCCUUAGAACUGGAGUCCGGAGCCAAUCAGAUUGUAUUAAGUCAUGGAAAUCCACGAUUGGUAAGAAAAACACUUUCGCCCCCUCUGUUGGAUUUUUUCAAGUCCUCGGUUUCGAAGCUUUGGAGUUGUUCCUCUCCCCCCUUUGAUCCUCGAUCUGGCCCGAGGUUACUUUCUCUUUCGCUUUUCGUCAGAGGAACACGUUGGACGCGUUCUAACCGACGGCCCUUCGACUGGUUCCGGUGCUUAGAACGACUGCCGAUUUGGAUCUAACUACUGGGUCGUUCAACUGCCGCCGCUUUCUUAUGCGUCGGACCUUGUGGAUGCAUCUAAGCCAUCCACGUCUGCCGAGUUGGCCAACCGUGAGUCUUGGGUCUUCGGGUCACCCAGCUUAUGACUCAUCCUUCCCCGGGCGAGACUGCUCUCACACCUGCAUCGGUGUCAAAUUUCUCACCGCCGAUGACUCAGCCCAUGCCAUCCACGGCUACUGGGCUAGCCAACAGCGGUCAAUCUGAGUCUUCAGUCCAAUCCGAGUUGCGUGUGGACUUGGGAACUGCAAGAGAAUAUUUGAUCGCCAAUCCAGCUUCUGACCCAGCUGCCAGCUACAACUCCCUCGAUGUUGCCUGCGGCUCCCCCCAAUAGCUCCAGAAGCCAUUCAUUCCUGGGCUAAGCUCUCCACCUCCCCUCAGGCCUCGGUCUCAUCCUCUCCAUCCUGUGGCGAUGGCUUUGCAAUGGGCCUUUGCUCCUCGGCCACCUAUCAUGGCCCUAUGCUGCGUGGCUUAGAGCCCGAUUCCGUUGGCGAUGAGAUCGUUGAUGUUCCACUUCGAUAUGAGGAAUCUGCUGCCUCCAAAACCCCCCAAUCAACAUGCUGGGGAGGCCUUCUCCUUGUCAGCUUGUCACUCUUUGAGAUGUUUGAAUUGGGCUUAGGCAGUAGAGAGCUAUUCAGAAUUAUGGGCAAGUCUUGUUGGUUAUUAUGUUAUUGUUGUGUAAGUAUAUUUUGUAUGUAAUGAAAUGUUGUCGAUGAACCGAAAUUGAUAUACCUUGUAAAAGUGUUAGAAGAUCUCUCUUAUUUAGAAUUUCGGAAUGUUAAGUCUAGUUUACGAUGAUAUGGACUUGUGGUAAAUGGUUGGAGUUAUGAUUGUAUAAAUUACAUAGCUUGUGGAUUUAUAAAUGUUGUUCAUGUUUGUUAA